AAAGUACUCCCUCCGUCCCAAAAUUCUUGUCUUAGAUUUGUCUAGAUAUGGAUGUAUCAAGUCACAUUUUAGUAUUAGAUACAUCCGUAUCUAGAAAAAUCUAAGAUAAGAAAUUUGGGAUAGAGCGAGUAGUUG
rfam:Triticum aestivum genome assembly, contig: Triticum_aestivum_CS42_TGACv1_scaffold_501320_6BL